rnacentral:lncRNA from 1 species
UCAUUUGUCCAAAAAAUCCGAAAACGUGUCAAUCAAAAUGGUGAGGGCGAUGAUUUACCAGAGUUUUGUGACCUGCAAACAGCCAAAAUCGACAAAGUCCUGAUUUGUUGAGGAAAAUAAACAAAAAAUGGAGGAGAAUCCCAGUCAAUCGAUGAAUGAGAUAUCUGACUGCAUUGACAGGGCAUCUUAUUCAACUAUCCAUCGUGUCAUUAAUGAAGACCUACGGUACCACAACUAAGCACGUUGUAAGGGGCAGCUUCUAGUCCUGUUACACUGGGAGAAAGUGUUGCUCGGACCAAAACUCUGAUAAGGAUAAAAUAGAAGCUUCCCUUGAAAAAUAAUAUCUGGUUCUUCUCAGUUGAAAAAAAUUUAUGUGAAACUCAGAAGCAUAUCUCGAGGAACAAUAGAAUGUCGGCACAAAGUUCUUAGAAUAAUGAAUGCCAAUACCCCACGCAAUUGUUUGCAGUGGAAGUCACGUUAUGCCGCACAUCACCUUCAAGCAGGGUUUGUAAUCAAUGCCAAAGUCUACAAUGUUGAUCUUUUCACCAAUGUAUUUUCCUAUAUCUGGAUCACCAUAAAAUACCCUUCUUGGAUCUGGCAGCAAGACAGUGAACGCUUCUACAACAUCAACAAAACACUGGAUUUUCUUUUCUUUGCUCUCAGAACGUGAUGUAUAUCUCAUCGAGAGUAUUUGCCUCCUCUCGCUGAAAUUGACCUUUUUAGACUAUUUCGUCUGUUGCAAUAUUGAACAAGCUACCAAUGAAGGUCCCCACCGCACCACAAAAUCCCUGUGAGCGGCGAUAAGGAGGGCAAUCCGGAAUUUAAACACGUUCGAGAGGGCAGUGGGACGUUUAUGGAGACGUUGGUAACGCGGGGUACAGGUUAAUAUCAAUUUUGAAUGUCAAAGUUAGAUUAUAAUGUAGAUUUUUGUGACAAUUUUAAUAAUUAUAUUUAUAAAUAAAUUCACAGUAGAACUUUACUUUUGUUCUCAGCUUGGAACCGUUUAGAUGAACCUCCCUUUAUGGAUAAUUAUUGAGCAUCAGAGUUAGUUCCACAAAUUUGAAUAAACAGACUUUAAGGAAUCGGAUAUCUCUAUGGACUAUUUCCCUGUAUGUAUAUAUAUAUAUAUAUGAAGUCAAAUUACCGUAUGAAAAUGUAUUGUGGAAUGGCCUAUAUAUCGGGCCCAUCAACACAAAAGAAAAAUAGAAUGAUUUUCAUCAGAAAUUGAAUUCAAAAUGAGUCCAAAUAGGUUGGAGGAAUGUAUGGGCUAAAACCACGUUUAACCUCUCAAAAAGAUGGAACUCCUUGUCCAACGUAAGAUAUGGCAUAAGGGGACUCAUCACCCUGUCUUUUGGCCUCUAUCCAGUUCAAAUUGGAACCGAUGUAUCUUGGAGUCGGAUCAUUUUUGGAGGAGAGGUCCUACAAAAAACUUCCCCAAAUUUAGAUGCACUAAAAGCUUCCGUUCUUCGUAAAUAGGACAACAUUACCAUUCAGAUGGUCUGCACCUUCUGCAAUGUCCUCCCUAACAGGCUUAAGCCUGUAAUCUCGGCAAAAGGAGACCAUUUUGAAUAUUUGGUAGUAUUUAUGCAAGAUUUUAUUUGUCUCAUAAUAUACAUAAAAAGUUA